GCAGUCGAGCGCGAAUAGGGGCAACCCUUAGUAGAGCGGCGCACGGGUGCGUAACACGUGGAUAAUCUGCCUGGAUGCUCGGGAUAACCAGUCGAAAGAUUGGCUAAUACCGGAUAAGCCCACGGUUUCUUCGGAGACUGAGGGAAAAGGUGGCCUCUGUAUACAAGCUAUCACAACCAGAUGAGUCCGCGGCCCAUCAGCUAGUUGGCGGGGUAAUGGCCCACCAAGGCGACGACGGGUAGCUGGUCUGAGAGGACGAUCAGCCACACUGGAACUGAGACACGGUCCAGACUCCUACGGGAGGCAGCAGUGGGGAAUUUUGCGCAAUGGGCGAAAGCCUGACGCAGCAACGCCGCGUGUGUGAUGAAGGUCUUCGGAUUGUAAAGCACUUUCGACCGGGACGAAAACCCGUAGCCCAACACGCUACGGCUUGACGGUACCGGGAGAAGAAGCACCGGCUAACUCUGUGCCAGCAGCCGCGGUAAUACAGAGGGUGCAAGCGUUGUUCGGAAUUAUUGGGCGUAAAGCGCGUGUAGGCGGCGUGACAAGUCGGGUGUGAAAGCCCUCAGCUCAACUGAGGAAGUGCGCCCGAAACUGUCGUGCUUGAGUGCCGGAGAGGGUG
rnacentral:rRNA from 1 species